GGAGAGAUGGCUCAGCGGUUAAGAGCACUGACUGCUCUUCCAGAGGUACUGAGUUCAAUUCCCAGCAACCACA
rnacentral:tRNA from 1 species